UUAAACCAAAGCAUUUACUAGUCCCAGUAUAGGCGAUAGAAAAGACACCAUUGGAGCGAUAGAGAUCACGUACCGUAAGGGAAAGAUGAAAUAACAAUGAACAAGACAAGCUAAAAACAGCAAAGAUCAACCCUUGUACCUCUUGCAUCAUGGUCUAGCAAGAAAAACCAAGCAAAAUGAAUUUAAGUUUGCCACCCCGAAACCCAAGCGAGCUACUUACGAGCAGCUAAUGUUGAGCGAACCCGUCUCUGUUGCAAAAGAGUGGGAUGACUUGUUAGUAGAGGUGAAAAGCCAACCGAGCUGGGUGAUAGCUGGUUGCCUGUGAAACGAAUCUAAGUUCACUCUUAAUUCUUCUCCAAGGAAAACUCGUAAACCCCAACGAAGCGAAUUAAGGGCAAUUUAAAGGAGGUACAGCUCCUUUAAAAAAGAAUACAAUCUCCACGAGCGGAUAAGCAAACAUCCACAAAACUACUGUGGGCCCUCAAGCAGCCAUCAACAAAGAGUGCGUUAAAGCUCUGUACUUCAAAAAUAUACAAACCAUGCGACUCCCUCCCCACUAACAGGCUAACCUAUACUACAAAUAGGAGAAUUAAUGCUAGAAUGAGUAACCAGGGGCCCCCCUCUUCGACGCAAGCUUACAUCCGUACAUUAUUAACAAAUCCCAAUAUACGA
rnacentral:rRNA from 1 species